UUGAACACAGUAGAGGUAUUUCAAGUUGCUUUAGAGAGAGAAUUACACACACACAAAAAAUCUUUAGGAGCCAGCCAACCACUGUGGACACCAAUAAGAGAGCUCCAACAUUGGUGAGGUAUAGACCCCUCAAAGUUGUUGGUAAUAACAGCAAGGUCCAUCUGGCAAGAUUGGUCACCUGUGGUGGAAGUGGUGGUGACAGCAGGGAUGCAACUGCAGCAAUCAAUGAUGAUGAUCUCACUAGGGUGGGGAGGUGUUAGAGGCAUCUUCACAGCAGCACAGUGCCCAGAAUGCCAAAGAGCAGCAGGAUUGAUCCAGCAUCCUCUCCUGAUAAAAGAGGGCUAGAAGACCGGAGGCUCUGGGGAGUCUACUGGAGUCAUGAAGACACUGAAAAGUGAUGAAUCCACAUAACCAUGACACUGGAAAUGAAGUUUGAGUGGCAGUCGGAAUCUGGGAGGAAGCAUUGCUAAGUGAAAAUCUUACGGAGCUUGACUAAAUAUCCCUGUCAGGAACCGUCAAAAGCUGUGUCCCUGACAUGAAAAAUCUUGCUGGAAGUUGAGAGAGGUUUAUGCCUACUCCGUGAUCCGGGAACACAAGACCUUUACCAACCAAAAAAGUGGAUAGCUGUUCUUCUGCUGUGAAGGUUAAUAAAGGUAAACAUUAUAAUGGCCAGGGCUUGAGGGAGAAAGAAGGAAGAAGAAAAGAAAGAAAGAGACAAAGAACGCCAGAAAUGCCAAGCAAUUAACAACCCCAGAAGCAACCCUUAACCAAUGAUUAAAUAAAGUGGAUGAUUACAUACCCAAGCUCCUUCAACUCCCAGGGACAUAAUUCUGAGGGAUGGAAAACAAACUGAAACUGGCUCAAGUGAAGGCUCACUGGAAGGCUUACUGGAAAACUUACUGGAAGGAUGUGAGGAGAUGUUCGGGAAUCUAUUUGCAGAAAACAUGUUCAGCCCUGUCCACCACAGCCAGCUGGCUGAAGAGCUCAAAAGGCAAGAAAUCAGCAAGAGAGAGAUAUGAAGCAUGAGAAAUGAGCAAAAAACACCCAGCACAUCAUAAUCAUGGACAGUUUAGCAGUACAUGAAAAUAGAUGGUCCUCGCCCCAAGGGACUGCAGUAACCCUGAAUAAACAGGAUAUCUCUCACUUUUAGCAGUUCUUUCUGUGCUAGUAUUGGGGAAAUAUAUUUUUGGCUGCAUGCAAAAUGGUAAAAGACAUCUAUUAAGAAAAUGAAAACAAUGCUUCUGUUUUAGACGAAGCUUUUGAAGGUUUAAGGAUCACCUAUUUAUUGACAAAAUUGUUUCCGUGGCUUAAAAAUAAAAUACAAACAAAUACUA